AAGCUAUCCACCUGGGGAGUACGCCGGCAACGGUGAAACUCAAAGGAAUUGACGGGGGCCCGCACAAGCGGAGGAACAUGUGGUUUAAUUCGAUGAUACGCGAGGAACCUUACCCAGGCUCGAACGCCGAACGAAUACGGGGGAAACUUCGUAGCCAGCAAUGGCGGUCGGCGAGGUGCUGCAUGGUUGUCGUCAGCUCGUGCCGUGAGGUGUCGGCUUAAGUGCCAUAACGAGCGCAACCCCCAUCGGUAGUUGCCAGCGGGUCAAGCCGGGAACUCUACCGAGACUGCCAGCGCAAGCUGCGAGGAAGGCGGGGAUGACGUCAAAUCAGCACGGCCCUUACGUCUGGGGCGACACACGUGUUACAAUGGCCGGUACAGAGGGCAGCCACCCAGCGAUGGGGCGCGAAUCUCGAAAGCCGGUCGUAGUUCGGAUCGGAGGCUGCAACCCGCCUCCGUGAAGCUGGAUUCGCUAGUAAUCGCGCAUCAGCCAUGGCGCGGUGAAUACGUUCCCGGGCCUUGUACACACCGCCCGUCAAACCAUGGGAGCUGGGGGGACCUGAAGUGCGUGACCGCAAGGAGCGCCCUAGGGUAAAACCGGUGACUGGGGUUAAGUCGUAACAAGGUAGCC
rnacentral:rRNA from 1 species